GUACUUCCAAAGCACAUAUACUAAAAUUGGAACGAUACAGAAAAUAUUAGCGUGGCCCCUGCACA
rnacentral:snRNA from 2 species